rnacentral:rRNA from 1 species
UACGUAGGGUGCAAGCGUUAAUCGGAAUUACUGGGCGUAAAGCGUGCGCAGGCGGUUAUGUAAGUCAGAUGUGAAAUGCCCGGGCUUAACCUGGGAACUGCAUUUGUGACUGCAUGGCUAGAGUUUGGCAGAGGGGGGUAGAAUUCCACGUGUAGCAGUGAAAUGCGUAGAGAUGUGGAGGAAUACCGAUGGCGAAGGCAGCCCCCUGGGAUAACACUGACGCUCAUGCACGAAAGCGUGGGGAGCAAACAGG